rnacentral:rRNA from 1 species
UAGGGAAUCUUCGGCAAUGGACGGAAGUCUGACCGAGCAACGCCGCGUGAGUGAAGAAGGUUUUCGGAUCGUAAAGCUCUGUUGUAAGAGAAGAACGAGUGUGAGAGUGGAAAGUUCACACUGUGACGGUAUCUUACCAGAAAGGGACGGCUAACUACGUGCCAGCAGCCGCGGUAAUACGUAGGUCCCGAGCGUUAUCCGGAUUUAUUGGGCGUAAAGCGAGCGCAGGCGGUUAGAUAAGUCUGAAGUUAAAGGCUGUGGCUUAACCAUAGUACGCUUUGGAAACUGUUUAACUUGAGUGCAAGAGGGGAGAGUGGAAUUCCAUGUGUAGCGGUGAAAUGCGUAGAUAUAUGGAGGAGCACCGGUGGCGAAAGCGGCUCUCUGGCUUGUAACUGACGCUGAGGCUCGAAAGCGUGGGGAGCAAACAGGAUUAGAUACCCUGGUAGUCCACGCCGUAAACGAUGAGUGCUAGGUGUUAGACCCUUUCCGGGGUUUAGUGCCGUAGCUAACGCAUUAAGCACUCCGCCUGGGGAGUACGACCGCAAGGUUG